UAAACUAAAAAUCAAAACUAUUAUGGAAAUCGAAUACUAAGGAACAUGAACAAAAAACAAACCAGAAAUCAUGGAAUAAGCAAAUAAAGAUCAGAAGAUGGAGGUCAAUCGAGCCCUAAAAACAACAGUACUGAAGAAUUAACAAACUAAGCUUUCCAGAAUCAGGAGGCAAAUGCUAUCAUGAUAUCAACACUACUCAAAAGAUGGAGGGAUUUCAGAUUAUUAACAAACAACAACAUAUGACCAUUUAGAGCUACUUCAGGCAAGAUUCUGGACAAGCAAACAAUUGUUUAAAAGAAGUUAAACAUCUAAGAGCUGAUAAAAAUGAAGCAAAUAUAUAUAGAAAGAAGAUAAACUAUAGCUUUUGAUUCACACAUGCAUAUCCACUUGAGCGGAUUUUGUUGGUUCUUAACCUCUUUUUUAGAGGUUUUCAACUCCUAGGAUACUGACAAU
rnacentral:lncRNA from 1 species